GGGCCCGCACAAGCGGUGGAGCAUGUGGUUUAAUUCGAUGCAACGCGAAAAAACCUUACCUACCCUUGACAUCCCUGAAAUCGUCUAGCAGUAGACGAGUGCCUUCGGGAAUCAGGUGACAGGUGCUGCAUGGCUGUCGUCAGCUCGUGUCGUGAGAUGUUAGGUUAAGUCCUGCAACGAGCGCAACCCCUAUACUUAUUUGCCAGCACGUAAUGGUGGGGACUAUAAGUAAACUGCGGUGAUAAACCGGAGGAAGGUGGGGAUGAUGUCAAGUCAUCAUGGCCCUUAUGGGUAGGGCUACACACGUGCUACAAUGGACAGUACAAUUGGUUGCGAACCCCGCGAGGGGGAG
rnacentral:rRNA from 1 species